GAUGAACGCUGGCGGCGUGCCUAAUACAUGCAAGUCGAGCGAACAGACGAGGAGCUUGCUCCUCUGACGUUAGCGGCGGACGGGUGAGUAACACGUGGAUAACCUACCUAUAAGACUGGGAUAACUUCGGGAAACCGGAGCUAAUACCGGAUAAUAUAUUGAACCGCAUGGUUCAAUAGUGAAAGACGGUUUUGCUGUCACUUAUAGAUGGAUCCGCGUCGGAUUAGCUAGUUGGUAAGGUAACGGCUUACCAAGGCAACGAUGCGUAGCCGAUCUGAGAGGGUGAUCAGCCACACUGGAACUGAGACACGGUCCAGACUCCUACGGGAGGCAGCAGUAGGGAAUCUUCCGCAAUGGGCGCAAGCCUGACGGAGCAACGCCGCGUGAGUGAUGAAGGUCUUCGGAUCGUAAAACUCUGUUGUUAGGGAAGAAAAGAUGUGUAAGUAACUAUGCACGUCUUGACGGUACCUAAUCAGUAAGCCACGGCUAACUACGUG
rnacentral:rRNA from 1 species